UUGGGUAGGGGAGCGUCGUGUGCCGGGUGAAGCAGCCGCGGAAGCGAGUUGUGGACGGUUCACGAGUGAGAAUGCAGGCAUGAGUAGCGAUACACACGUGAGAAACGUGUGCGCCGAUUGACUAAGGGUUCCUGGGUCAAGCUGAUCUGCCCAGGGUAAGUCGGGACCUAAGGCGAGGCCGACAGGCGUAGUCGAUGGACAACCGGUUGAUAUUCCGGUACCCGCUUUGAAACGCCCAGUACUGAAUCAGGCGAUGCUAAGUCCGUGAAGCCGGCCCGAUCUCUUCGGAGUUGAGGGUAGUGGUGGAGCCGAUGAACCAGACUUGUAGUAGGUAAGCGAUGGGGUGACGCAGGAAGGUAGUCCAGCCCGGGCGGUGGUUGUCCCGGGGUAAGGGUGUAGGACGUUGUGUAGGCAAAUCCGCGCAACAUUAAGUCUGAGACCUGAUGCCGAGCCGAUUGUGGUGAAGUGGAUGAUCCUAUGCUGUCGAGAAAAGCCUCUAGCGAGUUUCAUGGCGGCCCGUACCCUAAACCGACUCAGGUGGUCAGGUAGAGAAUACCGAGGCGUUCGGGUGAACUAUGGUUAAGGAACUCGGCAAAAUGCCCCCGUAACUUCGGGAGAAGGGGGGCCAUCACUGGUGAUCCGAUUUACUCGGUGAGCUGGGGGUGGCCGCAGAGACCAGCGAGAAGCGACUGUUUACUAAAAACACAGGUCCGUGCGAAGCCGUAAGGCGAUGUAUACGGACUGACGCCUGCCCGGUGCUGGAACGUUAAGGGGACCGGUUAGCUGCCUUUCGGGGUGGCGAAGCUGAGAACUUAAGCGCCAGUAAACGGCGGUGGUAACUAUAACCAUCCUAAGGUAGCGAAAUUCCUUGUCGGGUAAGUUCCGACCUGCACGAAUGGCGUAACGACUUCUCGACUGUCUCAACCAUAGGCCCGGUGAAAUUGCACUACGAGUAAAGAUGCUCGUUUCGCGCAGCAGGACGGAAAGACCCCGGGACCUUUACUAUAGUUUGAUAUUGGUGUUCGGUUCGGCUUGUGUAGGAUAGGUGGGAGACUGUGAAGCGGCCACGCCAGUGGUUGUGGAGUCGUCGUUGAAAUACCACUCUGGUCGUGCUGGAUGUCUAACCUGGGUCCGUGAUCCGGAUCAGGGACAGUGUCUGAUGGGUAGUUUAACUGGGGCGGUUGCCUCCUAAAGAGUAACGGAGGCGCCCAAAGGUUCCCUCAGCCUGGUUGGUAAUCAGGUGUUGAGUGUAAGUGCACAAGGGAGCUUGACUGUGAGACCGACGGGUCGAGCAGGGACGAAAGUCGGGACUAGUGAUCCGGCAGUGGCUUGUGGAAGCGCUGUCGCUCAACGGAUAAAAGGUACCCCGGGGAUAACAGGCUGAUCUUCCCCAAGAGUCCAUAUCGACGGGAUGGUUUGGCACCUCGAUGUCGGCUCGUCGCAUCCUGGGGCUGGAGUCGGUCCCAAGGGUUGGGCUGUUCGCCCAUUAAAGCGGUACGCGAGCUGGGUUUAGAACGUCGUGAGACAGUUCGGUCCCUAUCCGCUGUGCGCGUAGGAAUAUUGAGAAGGGCUGUCCCUAGUACGAGAGGACCGGGACGGACGAACCUCUGGUGUGCCAGUUGUCCUGCCAAGGGCAUGGCUGGUUGGCUACGUUCGGAAAGGAUAACCGCUGAAAGCAUCUAAGCGGGAAGCCUGCUUCGAGAUGAGUAUUCCCACCAACUUGAUUGGUUAAGGCUCCCAGUAGACGACUGGGUUGAUAGGCCAGAUGUGGAAGCCCGGUAACGGGUGGAGCUGACUGGUACUAAUAGGCCGAGGGCUUGUCCUCAGUUG
rnacentral:rRNA from 1 species